rnacentral:misc_RNA from 1 species
CGCAGAUGCCUCCUGGCUCGCCGUCGUCGCCCACAGACCCCACCUCUUCCAAGGUGGUUCCUCCGCCUAGUUACUGUAGUCAUGGCUCCCCUGCCAUCAUUCUCUCCUUCCUCUAUUGUCUCCUUCCUCCAGACAGAGAGGCGGCACUGGUACAGGUGCUACCGGGCGAGGUGGAGCCUAAUCGCAUCCCAUGGAGGACCACCCUCCAAUGGAUCCAGGACGUGAGGCACCAAAUCAAUGGAGGUGGUACCAGCGAGGUGGAGCCCGGUCGCAUCCCAUGGAGGACAACCUUCCAAUUGAUCCAGGGCGUGAGGCACCAAUUCAGUGGAGAGGACAUCCAACAUGAUAUACUGGGAAGGAAAAGAUUUUUACACCCUUGUGAAUUCGAGCCACUUUUUCAUCAAAUUCUGCUAGAAGCAUUACUUUUGCACUCUCCGUCUUGUUUGCAGUUUGGUAUUUUCUUCUUUGAAAAACAAGAAUCGUGACUGCAAUGGCAAAUGGAAGGUGAAGGCCCUUUUGAUUGACAACUUAGGAAAAGAUGGAAUGGAACUCAAAUUUUGAUGGUCGGUCAAGUGUGUAGACUUGAAAUCAUAUAUACCUAGUUAGGCUCAACUUUAGCGCAAACUGUUGGUGACCAUGUUUUUUAGUUAGUAUUUUAGUUUGGAUUUAGAGUACACUUAUGUAUGAGUUAUUUAGCAAUGCUUAUUUAUGAGAUAUUGAAUGAUACUUAUCUACAUUAUAUUAACUAUAAUGUUAUUAAAUAUAUGUGUGUAUGUAUAUUAUAAUGUGG